GAUGAACGCUGGCGGCGUGCCUAAUACAUGCAAGUCGAGCGAACAGACGAGGAGCUUGCUCCUCUGACGUUAGCGGCGGACGGGUGAGUAACACGUGGAUAACCUACCUAUAAGACUGGGAUAACUUCGGGAAACCGGAGCUAAUACCGGAUAAUCUAUUGAACCGCAUGGUUCAAUAGUGAAAGACGGUUUUGCUGUCACUUAUAGAUGGAUCCGCGCCGCAUUAGCUAGUUGGUAAGGUAACGGCUUACCAAGGCAACGAUGCGUAGCCGACCUGAGAGGGGGAUAGGCGACACUGGAGCGGAGACACGGUCCAGACUCCUACGGGAGGCAGCAGUAGGGAAUCUUCCGCAAUGGGCGAAAGCCUGACGGAGCAACGCCGCGUGAGUGAUGAAGGUCUUCGGAUCGUAAAACUCUGUUAUUAGGGAAGAACAAAUGUGUAAGUAACUAUGCACGUCUUGACGGUACCUAAUCAGAAAGCCACGGCUAACUACGUG
rnacentral:rRNA from 1 species